UACAGAGACUGCAAGCGUUAUUCGGAUUCACUGGGCGUAAAGGGUGCGUAGGCGGCGCGGUAAGUCGGGUGUGAAAUCUCGGAGCUUAACUCCGAAACUGCAUUCGAUACUGCCGUGCUUGAGGACUGGAGAGGAGACUGGAAUUUACGGUGUAGCGGUGAAAUGCGUAGAUAUCGUAAGGAAGACCAGUGGCGAAGGCGGGUCUCUGGACAGUUCCUGACACUGAGGCACGAAGGCCAGGGGAGCAAACGGG
rnacentral:rRNA from 1 species